rnacentral:rRNA from 1 species
AUUGAACGCUGGCGGCAUGCUUUACACAUGCAAGUCGAACGGCAGCGCGGGCUUCGGCCUGGCGGCGAGUGGCGAACGGGUGAGUAAUAUAUCGGAACGUACCCAAGAGUGGGGGAUAACGUAGCGAAAGUUACGCUAAUACCGCAUACGAUCUAAGGAUGAAAGCAGGGGAUCGCAAGACCUUGUGCUCCUGGAGCGGCCGAUAUCUGAUUAGCUAGUUGGUGGGGUAAAGGCCCACCAAGGCAACGAUCAGUAGCUGGUCUGAGAGGACGACCAGCCACACUGGAACUGAGACACGGUCCAGACUCCUACGGGAGGCAGCAGUGGGGAAUUUUGGACAAUGGGCGCAAGCCUGAUCCAGCAAUGCCGCGUGAGUGAAGAAGGCCUC